UGAGGAAUAUUGGGCAAUGCCCGCAAGGGUGACCCAGCAACGCCGCGUGGAGGAUGAAUGUCGUAAGAUUGUAAACUCCUGUUAGAGGGGAAGAAUAGUACCGGUUGGACCGGUAUAUGACUGUACCCUCAGAGAAAGCCCCGGCUAACUACGUGCCAGCAGCCGCGGUAAUACGUAGGGGGCAAGCGUUGUCCGGAUUUACUGGGUGUAAAGGGCGCGCAGGCGGGAUAAAAAGUCAGUGGUGAAAUCCUACAGCUUAACUGUAGAACUACAUUAGAUACUAUGAUGCUUUAGUUCGGGAGAANGAGACGGAAUUCCAGGUGUAGUGGUGAAAUACGUAGAUAUCUGGAAGAACACCAGUUGCGAAGGCGGUCUCUUGGUCCGACACUGACGCUGAGGCGCGA
rnacentral:rRNA from 1 species